UACGUAGGUGGCAAGCGUUGUCCGGAUUUAUUGGGUUUAAAGGGUGCGUAGGCGGUUAUAUAAGUCAGUGCUGAAAUAUCCCGGCUUAACCGGGAGGGUGGCAUUGAUACUGUAUGACUUGAGUAGAGUUGAGGUUGGCGGAAUUGACGGUGUAGCGGUGAAAUGCUUAGAUAUCGUCAAGAACACCGAUAGUGAAGACAGCUAACUAAGCUCUAACUGACGCUGAGGCACGAAAGUGUGGGGAUCAAACAGG
rnacentral:rRNA from 1 species